UACGUAGGCAGCGAGCGUUGUUCGGAAUUACUGGGCGUAAAGAGUGUGUAGGCGGUGCUCUAAGUUCGGUGUGAAAUCUCCUGGCUUAACUGGGAGGGUGCGCCGAAAACUGGAGUGCUCGAGCGUGGGAGAGGAAAGCGGAAUUCCUGGUGUAGCGGUGAAAUGCGUAGAUAUCAGGAGGAACACCUGCGGUGUAGACGACUUUCUGGACCAUUGCUGACGCUGAGACACGAAAGCGUGGGUAGCAAACAGG
rnacentral:rRNA from 1 species